CCAUGUUUGACCGUGAGAACAAGGCCGGCGUGAACUUCAGCGAGUUCACGGGUGUGUGGAAGUACAUCACGGACUGGCAGAACGUCUUCCGCACGUACGACCGGGACAACUCCGGGAUGAUCGAUAAGAACGAGCUGAAGCAGGCCCUCUCAGGUUUCGGCUACCGGCUCUCUGACCAGUUCCACGACAUCCUCAUUCGAAAGUUUGACAGGCAGGGACGGGGGCAGAUUGCCUUCGACGACUUCAUCCAGGGCUGCAUCGUCCUGCAGAGGUUGACGGAUAUAUUCAGACGUUACGACACGGAUCAGGACGGCUGGAUUCAGGUGUCGUACGAACAGUACCUGUCCAUGGUCUUCAGUAUCGUAUGACCCUGGCCUCUCGUGAAGAGCAGCACAACAUGGAAAGAGCCAAAAUGUCACAGUUCCUAUCUGUGAGGGAAUGGAGCACAGGUGCAGUUAGAUGCUGUUCUUCCUUUAGAUUUUGUCACGUGGGGACCCAGCUGUACAUAUGUGGAUAAGCUGAUUAAUGGUUUUGCAACUGUAAUAGUAGCUGUAUCGUUCUAAUGCAGACAUUGGAUUUGGUGACUGUCUCAUUGUGCCAUGAGGUAAAUGUAAUGUUUCAGGCAUUCUGCUUGCAAAAAAAUCUAUCAUGUGCUUUUCUAGAUGUCUCUGGUUCUAUAGUGCAAAUGCUUUUAUUAGCCAAUAGGAAUUUUAAAAUAACAUGGAACUUACACAAAAGGCUUUUCAUGUGCCUUACUUUUUUAAAAAGGAGUUUAUUGUAUUCAUUGGAAUAUGUGACGUAAGCAAUAAAGGGAAUGUUAGACGUG
rnacentral:lncRNA from 1 species